CAGUAGUGGGGAAUAUUGCACAAUGGGCGCAAGCCUGGAGCAGCCAUGCCGNGUGUGUGAAGAAGGCCUUCGGGUUGUAAAGCACUUUCAGUCAGGAGGAAAGGUUAGUAGUUAAUACCUGCUAGCUGUGACGUUAGUGACCCUAGAAG
rnacentral:rRNA from 1 species